UUUGCUUAAAAUAAAAGGUCCAGCCUGCCCAGUGACACUGUUCAACGGCCGCGGUAUCCUAACCGUGCGAAGGUAGCGUAAUCACUUGUUCUUUAAAUGAGGACUAGUAUGAAAGGCACCACGAGAGUCAUACUGUCUCCUCUUUCCAAUCAGUUAAACUAAUCUCCCCGUGAAGAAGCGAGGAUAACUAUAUAAGACGAGAAGACCCUAUGGAGCUUUAAACGUAUAACACUUGCCCACUUACUCCUUUAAAUUUCAGAAAAAUCUAUUACCUUGGCAUCAUGCUUAUAAGUUUUUGAUUGGGGUGAUCACGGAACAAAAAAUAACCUCCGCAAUGAAAGACUCUCCAUAACUAAGUCAAGAACCACAACUCUACACAUCAACAAAUUGACACCAAUUGACCCAAUUUAUUGAUCAAUGAAC
rnacentral:rRNA from 1 species